rnacentral:lncRNA from 1 species
CCUGCUAGGAAAAGACCUAUUUAAUUGCAGUUACUAUUCAGUAGCUGUUGGUAUAGCAAUGGCUUCUGCAUAUUAUUAAACUAAACUGGAUUCAAAAGAAACCUUCAGGAUGCAUCUUCUUCCUUUCUUCUCCAAGAUUAUCGAUUGAAGUAAGAGUGGGUGGAAGCAAGUGAUUCUCACUUCAGAGAAGAAGGGGGCAUGGCUUGGAGUGGAGAAAAAAAGUGGGGCAUGAAGAAUCUGCUGACACUUUGUCCUUUUCCAUGGGAGAUCUCUCCUUGAGUGUCCCCUUGCCAAGAGCUGGGCCUCGUCAAGCUUCAGAUCACUCAGAUGUAGAAACAAUUCAGGACUUCCUUUAA